AUACCAGUCUGGAUGAGGCUGA
rnacentral:miRNA from 1 species